rnacentral:rRNA from 1 species
GAUGAACGCUGGCGGCGUGCCUAACACAUGCAAGUCGAGCGAACGGACGAGAAGCUUGUUUCUCUGAUGUUAGCGGCGGGCGGGUGAGUAACACGUGGAUAACCUACCUAUAAGAGUUGGAUCAGUUCGGGAAACCGGAUAUAAUACCGGAUAAUAUCUUGAACCGCAUGGAUCAAAAGUAAAAAACUGUCUUGCUGUGACAUGUAGAUGUAUACGCGCUGCAUUAGCUAGUUGUUAAGGUAACGGCUUACCAAGGCAGCGAUGCAAAGCUGACGUGAAAGGCUGAACCGCUACCCUGGAGCAGAGACACACUCCAGACACCUACGGGAGGAAGCAGUAGCGACUCUUACGCAAUGGUCACAAGCCUGACGGUGCACCGCCGCGUCAGUGACGACGGCCUUCUGAUCGUAAGACUAUGUUCCUAGGGAAGAACGUAUCUGUAAGUCUCUAGUCACAUCAUGACGGUACCUAAUAAGAAAGCCACGGCUAACUACGUG